rnacentral:rRNA from 1 species
AUUGAACGCUGGCGGCAUGCCUUACACAUGCAAGUCGAACGGUAACGGGCCUUCGGGUGCCGACGAGUGGCGAACGGGUGCGUAAUACAUCGGAACGUGCCCGCUCGUGGGGGAUAACGAGGCGAAAGCUUUGCUAAUACCGCAUACGAUCUACGGAUGAAAGCCGGGGACCGCAAGGCCUUGCGCGGGCGGAGCGGCCGAUGGCAGAUUAGGUAGUUGGUGGGAUAAAAGCUUACCAAGCCGACGAUCUGUAGCUGGUCUGAGAGGAUGAUCAGCCACACUGGGACUGAGACACGGCCCAGACUCCUACGGGAGGCAGCAGUGGGGAAUUUUGGACAAUGGGCGCAAGCCUGAUCCAGCCAUGCCGCGUGCAGGAUGAAGGCCUUCGGGUUGUAAACUGCUUUUGUAAGGAACGAAAAGCCUUCUUUUAAUACAGGAGGGUCAUGACGGUACCGUAAGAAUAAGCACCGGCUAACUACGUG